rnacentral:rRNA from 1 species
UUAAGCGACUAAGCGUACACGGUGGAUGCCCUGGCAGUCAGAGGCGAUGAAGGACGUGCUAAUCUGCGAAAAGCGUCGGUAAGGUGAUAUGAACCGUUACAGCCGGCGAUGUCCGAAUGGGGAAACCCAGUGCAAUUCGUUGCACUAUCGUUAACUGAAUACAUAGGUUAACGAGGCGAACCGGGGGAACUGAAACAUCUAAGUACCCCGAGGAAAAGAAAUCAACCGAGAUUCCCCCAGUAGCGGCGAGCGAACGGGGAGCAGCCCGGAGUCUGAAUCAGCUUGUGUGUUAGUGGAAGCGUCUGGAAAGUCGCAGGGUACAGGGUGAUACUCCCGUACACUAAAACACACAGGCUGUGAACUCGAAGAGUAGGGCGGGACACGUGGUAUCCUGUCUGAAUAUGGGGGGACCAUCCUCCAAGGCUAAAUACUCCUGACUGACCGAUAGUGAACCAGUACCGUGAGGGAAAGGCGAAAAGAACCCCGGCGAGGGGAGUGAAAAAGAACCUGAAACCGUGUACGUACAAGCAGUAGGAGCCCACUAGUUGGGUGACUGCGUACCUUUUGUAUAAUGGGUCAGCGACUUAUAUUCUGUAGCAAGGUUAACCGUAUAGGGGAGCCGC